UACGUAGGGGGCAAGCGUUGUCCGGAAUCAUUGGGCGUAAAGAGCGUGUAGGCGGCCAGAUAAGUCCGCUGUGAAAUCUCGAGGCUCAACUUCGAGCUGUCGGUGGAAACUGUCUGGCUAGAGUCCGGAAGAGGAGAAUGGAAUUCCUGGUGUAGCGGUGAAAUGCGCAGAUAUCAGGAAGAACACCCGUGGCGAAGGCGGUUCUCUGGGACGGUACUGACGCUGAGACGCGAAAGCGUGGGGAGCGAACAGGAUAG
rnacentral:rRNA from 1 species